rnacentral:lncRNA from 1 species
CAUGCUCCAGCCGAUUCCCCUUACUGGAAGUGACCAGAGUAGGGGAUUUUUCACAGGUAGGGAAAUUUGGUGUCACAAGCGUCCAUAGCAAGGCUCUCUGCGUUCCGCAGCCAUGUGGUUGGCGGACGCCAUGUUGUGGUGGGCUACGUUUCCCACCAUCACUGCUGUCAGCUGACAUUGGUAUAAAACUAAGCCGAUAUAUAAAGAAAUCUGAGUCUUAGGUUAGAUUAGUGUGGAUACGAAAAGGCCGCAGCUUCCAAUAUAAACAUGGGGAUCUCACGUUCACUACUUAAGUAACGCUUCGUUAGGUAUAGGUGCCAGUAAACGGAUGAAAGGUCUUUUGAAAUUGGAACAAGGAUCUUGUUAGUAAAGAGACACUCUACCCUCUAGGACCACUACAACUUACAGUAGUGGUUCUGGUGCAAAGAGACUGUCCCUAAAUUCUCAACUAUACAAACACUAUUUUUCUUUGAGAAGAGGUAGUGUUUAAAGUGUGCUCCAUAGCCACCCCUAGUGACAGUUACUCAGACAGCCAGGAGAGGUCCUUCCAUUCUAUCCAUGAAGAUGACAAACACUCUCCAUAGCGAUGCAUUGAGCAUUGUCAGAGCACAGCGAAUGCUGCGCAUGUUAUAUUAAAAUGGCUGAGAUUGUCUAUUAUGAUGAUCUCAGCAUGGGAGGAGCGGCAACCGCUGCAAGAUCUGUACAAUGAGGGACUAAAGGUAUGUAAACGGUAUGGUGGGCAUAAUUUUUACUUGAAAUACACUUUGUUAGGAGUACAUAUACAAUCAUGACACCAUAACCACUACUAUUGACUACUUACAUGUUGAGGGCAGAGGACACUCCUGGCACAUCAUUACAGUGUGGAUAGUGGUUAUGGUACUUGGAAUGUGACUUUAACUGGGUCCUCACUAAUAUGUGAAUUGUUGAAAUUUAAAACCCAAAUAUCAAAAUUUAGGAAAAGAAUAGCAGACCUGAAAAAAAUCUCUAACUCAACAGCUUGGCUAUUUUUGCUUGUAUUUUCCAUUUGGUUUUGUGAUUAAUUCGCUAUUUAGACAUAUCAUAGCAGGUCUGGCUUCAUAUUUACCUACCUUCUUUAUCCACAGUGAAACAAACAUUUGUGGAUACUUUCAAAUAGAUCAACUAACCUAUACUUUUUGCACAUUUUUAGUGAAGGGAUCAUCAUUGGAAUUUAGAGAAUAUGUAGUUCUGGUCUGCUUUGGGUUUUUUCCCUCUUUUUUUUAGGUUUUCCAUUUUGAAACCUUGCCCCGCUUCCUGGUAAUGGGCCAAAUGGUUUCCCACUUCUCUGAGUCACCCAGCUGUGAAAGCUUGGUGCCUUUUUCAUUGCCAUUCGUUGGCAGAGAGUGCUAGUUGACAACUUUCAUGCAAUUAAUGCAAUUCCACGUCCCACUAUAAGCACAUCUAAUGAUAUGCUAAUGCUGUACUGUUCAAGGACAGUUCCCUGGUGUUCCCAGGUGCAUGUCAUUAGAUGUGCUUCUUUUUUCCAGUUCCUUUUAAAGCAGGUGUCCGGAUACGGCCUGAGCAUUGAGUGACACCUGAUGGGCGGCCGUCCAAUAGCGUGACCAGGCCCCUUUAAAAAAUUGCACCAGCGUGGGAGGGAAGAAAGACAGGCCACGAGAACAUUAGAGCCACGCCGACUCCCAUCAGCCACAGCCACCCUCCUGCAAAAAAAAGUAAGAAAAAUUAGCUGUGUGUAUGUGUAUGUAUGUCUAUCAGUAUGUUUCUAUCUGUGUGUAUGUCUGUCUGUAUUUCAGUAUGUAUGUAAGUAUGUGUUUGUAUGUAUGUCUGUCUGUGUGUAUGUAUUUCAGUAUGUAAAUGUGUAUGUGACUGUAGGUCUGUAUGUGUAUGUAUGUCUGUGUGUAUGUAUGUGUAUGUAUGUCAGUGUGUUUGUAUGUCAGUGUCUAUGUAUGUAAGUAUGUCUGUAUAUGUCAAUUUGUAUGUAUGUCUGUGUGUAUGUAUUUCAGUAUGUAUGUAUGUAUGUGUAUGUGUCUAUCUGUAUGUAUGUCUGUGUGUGUAUGUAUGUCAAUAUGUUUUGUAUGUUUUUUUAUGUAUGUCAGUAUGUCUGUGUGUGUGUCUGUAUGUAUGUGUUUUUGUAUGUAUGUCAGUAUCUGUAUGUCUGUAUGUAUAUAUGUCAGUAUGUGUGUGUGUGUCUGUAUGUAUGUGUAUGUAUUUCAGUAUGUAUGUAUGUAUGUCAAUAUGUGUUUGUAUGUCUGUCUGUAUGUAUUUCAGUCUGUGUGUAUGUAUUUAAUUCUGUGUGUAUGUAUUUCAGUAUGUAUGUCUGUAUGUCAGUAUGUGUUUGUGUGUAUGUAUUUCAGUAUGUAUAUGUAUUUCAGUAUGUAUGUAUGUCUGUGUGUGUUUAUAUAUGUCAGUAUGUGCUUGUAUGUCUGUGUGUAUGUAUAUGUAUUAUGUCAGUAUGUGUUUGUAUGUGUUUGUCUGUGUGUAUGUAUUUCUGUGUAUGUCAGAAUGUAUGUCCUGUGUGUGUAUGUAUGUCAAUAUGUGUCUGUCUGUGUGUAUGUGUCUAUCUGUAUGUCUGUAUGUAUGUCUGUGUGCAUGUAUUUCAGUAUGUAUAUAUGCCUGUGUGUGUGUGUAUGUCAGUAUGUGUUUGUACAUAUGUAUGUGUUUGUAUGUAUAUUUCAGUAUGUAUUUAUGUGUGUAUGUAUGUGUCUGUAUUUGUAUGUAUUUCUGUAUGUAUUAUGUUAGUAUGUGUCUGUAUAUGUCUUUGUAUAUGUUUUAGUAUAGGAAUUCAUUCAAAUUUUUUUCAAACUAUAGUCUGGCCCCCAACAGUGUCUGAGUGAACUGGCCCCCUGUUUAAAAGGUUUGAGGACCCCUGUUUUAAAGGAUCACUAUAGUGUCAGGAAAACAAACUCAUUUUCCUCUUGCAUGCUGGAUGAUCCUCAGCCAGCAUUGCCACACUGGCCAUACCUUACUUUGGUUUCAGUGUCAUCCGUCAUGGUUGCCGAACCUGGCUUCCAGGCACUUGAGGGCCUACAAGCCUGGCUAUGUACCGCACUGGUGGACUCACUGCCUGAAGCCCUUGCUGCUAUGCACGGGGAUGCCACUCCUGUCCCUGCGGGACCCACACCCAGCACCUCUGGGGCUCGGGACCCCUACUCAGGCGGCACCCUCCGCUCUGUGGACAUGGGCUCUGCGUGCGAAAGACCUUGGACAGGUCAUGGUGCUGUCACUGGCAAGGCCCACUAAAGUGAAAUGAUCUGGAAUGUAAAGUGUAUUUCAAUUUAAAGGCCCAAGUGGCAAAUGUUGUGGGAAAAUGCCAGCCAAACUAGCUAGACUGGGCUCCGGUUCUGGUGGUCACCCAGAUGAAGACAUGCUCUGGGGCACCGGUCUUUGACAUCCUGAACGAGUACCGAACUGGCAGCUCGGGUAACGCAUCACCCGGUGAGGGUGUCCUUGAACGACCCUCACGCUAUGUGAAAGAGACUUUCCUGGGCUCUCCUCAGACUGGUCCCCUCUGAUCACCCACUCUUUAUCCAGGUCUUCCUAUACAUCCUGCAGAAUGGGCUCCCCCAGACCACAUCGCAGAAUUUCCUCAUUAUUACUUUGCCGCUCUUUGGACAAGGAGGUCCGGGCAAAACUCCUGAAUGAAUGCCCCCGUCCGACACUGCAGGAUAAGGUGGCCCUUACCCCUGAUUUUGACCUGGUGUUCACCACCUUCAUGACGAGAUCUGGGAAGGAUCCUCACAAAGGCCUGGAUCAGGGCCUACGCUCAGCCCAGGAUACACUGCUCGAUUUCAGUGGGCCAUUGGCACAAAUUUUCCUUACGGCGGAUGAUGCCCUACACGGCUGAGCUCUGGUUGCCGUCCAUCUCCUUCAGGAGUGGGCUCAAAGGGCUAGUUGUCUCCUGGGCAAUGCCAAUGUGGUCCUCCACUCAGAUCGAUCGUUUGUCUGGACAAUAUUUCAUUGAUGGCGUCGCCAGACAUCGUUCACAACCCUUCUUCUCGAGGACCUGGGGUUCAUCAUAAAUGUGGAGAAAUCAGAACUGCCUCCCUCUGGAUCAGUCCAGUUUCUGGGUUUUGUGGUGGAUUUGGUUCAGGCGGUGCUCUGCCUUCCCGAAGUAUCUGCUAUCACUAAGAAUAUCAGACGCCUGCUACGCAACCCACAGGCCACGUUGAGAGAUCUGGCGCAGACGAUAGGACUGCUGUCAUCCUCCAUUCAGGUCAUAUUCCUGGGACCCCUACAAUAUCGGGCUCUCCAAUGCCUGAAGGUGCACCCAGGUCAUCGGUCUCAUACGACCGAAUCGUGUGUCUUUUGGAGUCCAGUCUGGAACUCCAUUGGUGGCUUGGACACAAGGAGGCCUGGAACGGCAAGGCGAUAUUCGGAUCCUGGCCAGACUUCGUCCUGGAAUCAAAUGCCACUUGUCUAGGCUGGGGUGCUGCUUGCGAUGGCAUGGCGACAAUAGCACAUUGGACUCCGGAGGAGAAGACCCUUCACAUCAGCUGUCUGGAACUGAUUGAGGGGUCGUUCACCAUUCGAAGAUUCACCGAAGGGAUGAGUCAUGGCUCGCUGCUUCUAGGCAGCUGUCUGUUACAUAAACCGGUUGGUAGGUUCCGUUCCAAACUUCUUUCGGAUCUAACAAAGGAUCUCUACCAGUAUUGUCUGGACAAGAACUUAUCGCUUGUAGCGGAAUACAAUCUAGUUGCGGGCUGGUUUUUCUCGACACUGGAGAAACGCCAGCGAUUGGCAACUACAUCCUCCGGUGUUUCAGAUGCUGGACUUCCUUCGAGGUUCCCUCCACCUGGAUCUGUUCGCAUCCAGGGCGAAUUGCCAGACAGAUUUAUUCUUUAGUUGGCUCCCGGAUCCCCUCAGCGAAGCAGUGGACGCAUUCCUCCAGGAAUGGCCUCCCUCGGGAGUGUAUGCGUUUCCACACCUUCUCCAUGAUUAUCCGGACGUUAAAUUGGAGCAAGCUUCUGAGGAUGUCGCCUCUCCUAAUCGUGUUGCUUUGGAGGAGUCGUGGUGGAGUUGUCGUGCAAAGACCCACUACUUCUGCCUGUCUCCAAGUUUCUCCUUCGGGAUCCAGCAGGGAAUCCACAUCUGAUGGUAUUAGAGGGCUGUCUGUCGCUGGUGGCCUGGACCGUUUCCAGGGUUCCCGGGAUGUGUCAGGCCUAUCGACAGUGGCUAGAUAGUUACCAGACGAGCGUAUCUACACGAUUCUGGCGAUUCUAGCAUGUCUGGUGAGACGUUUGGAUCCCUUUAUGGCCCCUAUCAUGGCCGUCCUGAACUUCUUGGCUGAAUUGUUUUCUCAGGGUAAGUCGUAUAGGACUAUUACGUCUUCCGAUCGGCUAUCUCGGUGGCUCAUGUGCCUUCUCAAGGUUUUGGUGUUGGUAAGGACACCUCGGUCUGCAGACUGCUCGAGACCCCCUGCUUCUUGCUAUUCCUCAUUUUGGGAUGUCUCGCUGGUAUUGCGCUUUCUUGAGGAAUGGCCUGAUAACGAGGAAUUGACUCUGUGCCAGUUUUCCACUAAGCUGGCUCUACUGUUAUGUCUUGUGUCUUUUCGUCACGUUUCUGAUGUUCGUUCUUUUGAUAUAGAAUAUUUCUCCUUUUCACCGGAUGGUGUGUCUGUUUCUAUUUCAGGAAGAACAAAAUCUAAUUAGUCUUCUGUGUCGUAUCCCUACUUUCCAGAUAGACCACCACUCUGUGUAGCACGUUAUCUACGGACGUGUAGCCAGUUGUGCAUUUAGGUUUUGUGCUGACCCCUGCUCGGGCCUCCUUCUCCCCCCCCAGGGUGAGGGGGGUGACAGGGUGUUGACAGGGUGUGACAGUGUGAGGUGGCAGGGUGAGAGGGGUGACAGGGUGUUGACAGGGGGUGACAGGUGGGGUGACAGUGUGAGGUGGCAGGUGAGGUGGGGCGACAGGAUGAGGGGGGUGAUAGGGUGAGGGAGUGACAGGGUGUUGACAGAUGGGGUGACAGUGUGAGGUGGCAGGGUGAGGGGGGGUGACAGGCGGCUGACAGGGGUGACAGGUGGGGGUGGCAGGUGAGGGGGGGUGACAGGGUGCUGAUUAGGGGUGACAGAUGGGGGUGACAGUGUGGAGGUGGUAGGGUGGAGGGGGGGGGUGACAGGGUGCUGACAGGGGUGGCAGGGUGAGGUGGCAGGGUGAGGUGGCAGGGUGAGGGGGGUGACAUGGUGAGGUGGCAGGGUGAGGGGGGUGACAGGGUGAGGUGGCAGGGUGAGGGGGGUGGCAGGGUGAGGGGGGUGACAGGGUGAGGUGGCAGGGUGAGGGGGGUGACAGGGUGAGGUGGCAGGGUGAGGGGGGGUGACAGGGUGAGGGGGGGUGACAGGGUGAGAGGGGGUGACAGGUGCUGACAGGGGUGACAAUGUGAGGUGGCAGGGGUGAGUGGGGGGGUGACAGGGUGCUGACAGGUGGGGUGACAGUGGAGGUGGCAGGUGAGGGGGGGGGCUUACAGGGAUGAGGGGGGGUGAUAGGGUGCUGACAGAUGAGGAUAGGUGUGAGGGGGUGGACAGGUGAGGGGGGGUGACAGAUAAGGGACAGUGUGAGGUGCCAGGGUGAGGUGGGUGACAAGGUGUUGACAGGUGGGGGCAUUAUGGAGGGUGGCAGGGGUGGAGGGGGGUGACAGGGUGGAGAGGGGGUGACAGUGUGAGGUGGCAGGAUGAGAGGGGGUGAUAGGUGGGGUGGCAGUGUGAGGUGGCAGGGUGAGGGGGUGACAGGGUGUUUACAGGGGGUGACAGAUGGGGUGACAGUGUGAGGGGGGUGACAGGGUGUUGACAGGGGGUGACAGUGUGAGGUGGCAGGGUGAGGGGGGGUCAAAAUUUACCUUUUUCCCUGGUGGUCCAAUGGGGUCAGUCUGUCCCUGGUGGUCCAGUGGGCUUUCCGGUCUGCAGCUCCGCCGGAUGCAGAGCUGCAGAUCACAUGGGGAAUGAUCUCAUUUCAGAGCGUUGCCGUGGUAACCCGCGGCAACACUCUGAUUGGCUGGAGAGCGUGAGACACCUCAGUCUGCAGCUCACACCCGGUGGAGCUGCAGACUGAGGCCGGCUCUCUCCCCGGGCGGACUGACAGGAGGGGCCUCGCAUCCAGCGGCACAAAGGGCAAGCCGCCGGGCCCCCUCCUGUGUCGGGUCCUCGGUCAUAGACCGACAACCCGACAUGUCAGUCUGCCCUCAGGUGAUUUAGGCGGCCGCGAGGCCCCUGACUGCGCGAGGCCUUAGGCGGCCGCCUAAAUCACCUAAUUAGAGAGCCGCCUCUGGGUUUUGGUUGUCGGUGUGAGUUUAUUCAUCAUGUCUUAUUCCGUUGAAGUACUGGUGUGUAUGGUAUGACAUUCUGCCUUGGCAGUUUACUUUCACAAUGUUUCUUCUUCCUUACAGUGUAAUCUGGAUUUCUUCUGGUUCUGGCAGUUUCUCAUCUGAUUGUGCCUGCUAAAAUUUGAUUUGAUUGGUUUUCAUGCUCUCCUGCUCGACCUCAUCAAGGAAAGCAGAAGUGGGGAGGGUUUAUACUGCUGUUAUUUUGUUCUGAUUGGUUGUUCUGAAAAGUUACGUCAACUGUUUCUUUGCUGCAUGAGGUUUCUAUUAAUGAAGGUAAAGCAAAUAUUCGUAUAUGUGUGUGUCUGUCAUGUUUUGCCAUAUUUUAUGGAUGACAUGUUGGUGCCAUAUGCUAUUGUCGUCACAUAUGUGCUGCAAUUUGUAUGUGUGUUGUGUGCACUUUAAAAUAAAAGACUUAUUUAGGUACUGUGAUGGUUGACAGCCAGGGUGCCUGUUCUACUUUAGCUUUAAUAAUACAUUUAGAUCAUGGGCGUAGGAACCAAGGGGGAUAGGGGGGGACGCAUCCCCCCCAGCAAAUCAUGCGGGGGGGAC